rnacentral:rRNA from 1 species
AGCUCCAAUAGCGUAUAUUAAAGUUGUUGCAGUUAAAAAGCUCGUAGUUGGAUUUGGGACUGGAGUCGUUCGGUCGGCCGCAAGGUCUGUUACUGAACGGCUCUGUCAUCACAUUCCCAGAGACCUGCCGUGUACUUAACUGUGUGCGGUACGGGAUUUGGGACGUUUACUUUGAAAAAAUUAGAGUGUUCAAGGCAGGCGCUUCGCCUGAAUAAUGGUGCAUGGAAUAAUGGAAUAGGACCUCGGUUCUAUUUUGUUGGUUUUCGGAAGUUGAGGUAAUGAUUAAGAGGGACGGACGGGGGCAUUCGUAUUACGGUGUUAGAGGUGAAAUUCUUAGAUCGCCGUAAGACGGACUGCUGCGAAAGCGUUUGCCAAGCACGUUUUCAUUAAUCAAGAACGA